CCACCCAUAUCAAUUGCUCCCCCUCACGAUCCAAUCUCGCCGGCGCCGCCUCUGACAGCCACUUCCCCGGCCAUCGGCCAUCCCCUCCCACCGCCAGCCAGGCCUGCGAAUCCGAGGCGUCUCUCUCCGCUUCCCCUCCUCCUGAUUACCUUCCCACCUCGCCCCUGAUUUUGACCCUGACAACCUCCCCCUCGCAGGGUGCAGUAGCCACCUUCUUCGGCCACCGCCGGUGCCACGGGUAGAGCCCUCGCCUCCCACGCCCGACAGGUUCAUGCAUGCCUUCCUGAGUUCAUGUUCUUCUGCGGUUCUGCCCUGUCGAGAUUUUUGGCGCCGUGAACUCUGUCUGAUUUGCAGGUGUAAUUAAGGCUAGCCAGGCCCCGGAGGGUACUCAUGGAUCCGCCCAGCAGGGUGGGGUUAUCAAGAGGUGUGCAAUUUAAUCCUAGCGAUAGUGAUCUUCUAUGGCAAAAAUUGGGAAUGGCCUGGCUAAUUGCCAUCCAUUCAUCAGCGAGUUUAUUAAAUCUGGUGAUGAAUAUGGAGGAUUCUUCUGCACCCACCCUCAAGAUAUGCCAGACCCUCUAGAUCAAUAAUCUUGGAUUGGAGUCGAAGUAUUUGUCCUGUUCACCUUCAAGAAUAGUGAUAGCAGCCCUUACAGAACUGACUGGGAAUUACAUCAAUAUCAUAUAAAAACACAAUGGAGUCUAUCAAAGUGGCAAAGGAAAUCUCUCCACAAGCACGUCUUAUUGAUGCCCACACUACUUGAAUCGUUGGAUUCUUUUUGACCAUGUAAUCCACGCACGGCCUAGCCCUUUUUGUUCGACACCAACAGGCUGCAGCGCCUCUGCGACCUGCGCACUGGACCUCACACAGGAUCAGCAGUGUGAUCGAUGCUUGCGCAUGAACGUGGCUGGGCAGUCCAGGUUAGGGCGGGACGUAUCACACAAGAGCACUAUGUGCUUUCUUCUCUCUUCCCUCCAAUCCGAGUACAGGUGUGUGCUUCCUCCAGCGACAUGUUUGUUUCAGUUAGAACCUCUGUUAACCUCGGGUGCGUCCAACCUCUAUAAAUUCGUGUUCAAUUUUGAUUGUGAAUUGUGUUAGGAUUUUCACCUGGUUGGUAUGCAUCUCUAGAACUUCCGAUGAAGAAGAGGAGGAGCAUCCUAUCUUGGGCAUUCUAUUUUAGUGUACGGACAUUUGGCAGAAAAAUUAAUCACCAGGGUUAUGAUUACAUUUCUGAAUUUCUUAUAUUUAUGUAGCUUUGGAAUUUUCCUGCUGGUUGACAAUAUCUCAGCCACCAUAGGAUGUACACAAUAUCAAGUCUAAUAGUCAGUGAUGAAGAAUUCAGGAUUGUGUUAUUAUCUCUUGCUGUUCACGAUAACAUCCUCUACUGCAAGUAGUCCAGUCUAUGUGCGUGUCCACCAUGGUUGGUUACUACUAAUUGCCUGAUGAUCAACCUUGAUUUGGUAGUAUAUAACAGUAGAUUUCUGGAUUGUUUGGUAUGGUGGGGAAUGAUGAUCUAGACAUUGUGUUCUGUCACUGGAGUUUUCUCCAGUGUACGUGCUGAAACUGUCCAUGGAAAAGGGCAUAUCAAGUGUAAGAUAAUGUGGACACGACCCCUUUUUGUUGAUCUCUCUUCAGAUGACAACCGUUUUGUCUUCUCUGUCAGGUUACACAAUGGUUACUUUUUACACCUUACCUUUGGAUUAGGUAGAGCAAUGGUAAGAUAAUGUGGCCAUUUGGGUUAUCCACUUGUUGGUGGUAAAACCAGGUGUGGUGUGACCUGCAGUGUUACUGGAAUUAAGGUGCCCCUCCAAAGUGUUUUUCUUAACACUCACGACUUUUGACAUGGUGUCGAUCUACUUGCACGGAGGUGGUAAAAUUCGUAUCUUUGGUGGUGCAGCUGUGGGCAAAGCUAUCCUUAUCAUGGAGUUGAUCAACAACAUUGCCAAGGAUCAUGUUUUUUUUGCAGAGUGAGAGCAAGUGUGCUCUUGUUACGGGCAAAUGAAUGUGCCCCCUGGUGCCCGUGCUCAUGUUGGACUCGCUGGUUUGACUAUCGCUGAGCAUUUCCAUGAUGCCCAAGGACAGGAAAGGAUGUGCUUCUCUUCAUUCAUAACAUUUUCCAUUUCGAUCAGGAAGAUGUCACAUGUCAAAGGUAGUGCACAACAAGGAUGAAGGAGUAAGGCUACAUUUUAUUUUACUCCAUGGUGUAAUAGAGAAGACACACCAAACAGAGUGAAGAAAAUAAAGGGCAUGUCUGAUUGAUAAAGAGAGUACUACAUUGACAAAAUAGAAAAUUUCAAAGAUGCACAUUUUCCAUAGCAAAGCAAGGGCGUUACCAAGAUCCCAGUAGAUCCAAUUCUAAUGGCAUAUUUAAUCUGCUUCUACUACUGCUUUGUGAUAUGUUGGUCAUUUCACUUUAGAAGAUGAUUUUGAAA